UACAGAGGUGGCAAGCGUUGUUCGGAAUUACUGGGCGUAAAGGGCGCGUAGGCGGUUCGUUAAGUCCUGUGUGAAAUCCCCCGGCUCAACUGGGGAACUGCACAGGAAACUAGCGGGCUUGAGUUCGGGAGAGGGAAGCGGAAUUCCGGGUGUAGCGGUGAAAUGCGUAGAUAUCUGGAGGAAUACCGGUGGUGAAGGCGGCAUCCUGGACCAACACUGACGCUGAUGCGCGAAAGCCAGGGGAGCAAACGGG
rnacentral:rRNA from 1 species